rnacentral:rRNA from 1 species
GAUCAUGGCUCAGGACGAACGCUGGCGGCGUGCUUAACACAUGCAAGUCGAACGGAAAGGCCCUGCUUUUGUGGGGUGCUCGAGUGGCGAACGGGUGAGUAACACGUGAGUAACCUGCCCCUUGACUUUUGGGAUAACUUCAGGAAACUGGGGCUAAUACCGGAUAGGAGCUCCUGCUGCAUGGUGGGGGUUGGAAAGUUUCGGCGGUUGGGGAUGGACUCGCGGCUUAUCAGCUUGUUGGUGGGGUAGUGGCUU